rnacentral:misc_RNA from 1 species
GAUGAAGAACGUAGCGAAAUGCGAUACGUAGUGUGAAUUGCAGAAUUCAGUGAAUCAUCGAAUCUUUGAACGCACAUUGCACCUCUCGGUAUUCCGGGAGGUAUGUCUGUUCGAGCGUCAUUUGUACCCUCAAGCUCUGCUUGGUGUUGGGUGUUUGUUCCGCCUCUGUGUGUGAACUCGCCUCAAAACAAUUGGCAGCCGGCGUACUUGUUUCGGAGCGCAGCACAUUUUGCGAUCCAGAUCAACGUACAGCGGCAUCCAAGAAGCCUUAUUUAACGCUCUUGACCUCGGAUCAGGUAGGGAUACCCGCUGAACUUAAGCAUAUCAAUAAGCGGAGA